UCAAGUGACUAAGCGUAUACGGUGGAUGCCUAGGCAGUCAGAGGCGAUGAAGGACGUUGUAGCCUGCGAAAAGCUUCGGGGAGUCGGCAAACAGACUUUGAUCCGGAGAUGUCCGAAUGGGGAAACCCACCUGGUGUAAGCCAGGUACCUUGCACUGAAUACAUAGGUGUAAGGAGCGAACGAGGGGAACUGAAACAUCUAAGUACCCUUAGGAAAAGAAAUCAAUUGAGAUUCCCCCAGUAGCGGCGAGCGACCGGGGAGUAGCCUGCAAGUGAUAGCAGUUGGGUUAGUGGAACGGUCUGGAAAGUCCGGCGAUAGAGGGUGAUAGCCCCGUACACGAAAACCUGAUUGUGAUACUAAGCUUGCGACAAGUAGGUCGGGACACGAGUUAUCUUGACUGAACAUGGGGGGACCAUCCUCCAAGGCUAAAUACUACUGACUGACCGAUAGUGAACCAGUACCGUGAGGGAAAGGCGAAAAGAACCCCGGAGAGGGGAGUGAAAUAGAACCUGAAACCGUAUACGUACAAGCAGUGGGAGCAGACUUGUUCUGUGACUGCGUACCUUUUGUAUAAUGGGUCAGCGACUUAUUGUCUGUAGCAAGCUUAACCGUUUAGGGGAGGCGUAGGGAAACCGAGUCUUAAUAGGGCGUCAUAGUUGCAGGCAAUAGACCCGAAACCGGGCGAUCUAGCCAUGGGCAGGUUGAAGGUUGAGUAACAUCAACUGGAGGACCGAACUCACGUAUGUUGAAAAAUGCGGAGAUGACCUGUGGCUCGGAGUGAAAGGCUAAUCAAGCCCGGAGAUAGCUGGUUCUCCUCGAAAUCUAUUUAGGUAGAGCGUCGUGUCUUACCCUGGGGGGUAGAGCACUGUUUCGGCUAGGGGGUCAUCCCGACUUACCAACCCGAUGCAAACUCCGAAUACCCAGGAGUACAAUCACGGCAGACAGACUGCGGGUGCUAACGUCCGUUGUCAAAAGGGAAACAACCCAGACCGCCAGCUAAGGUCCCUAAUACCAGUUAAGUGGGAAACGAUGUGGGAAGGCUUAGACAGCUAGGAGGUUGGCUUAGAAGCAGCCAUCCUUUAAAGAAAGCGUAAUAGCUCACUAGUCGAGUCGGCCUGCGCGGAAGAUAUAACGGGGCUAAAUUGGUAACCGAAGCUGCGGAUGCGUGCUUGCACGCAUGGUAGAGGAGCGUUCUGUAAGCCGUUGAAGGUGAACCGGGAGGUUUGCUGGAGGUAUCAGAAGUGCGAAUGCUGACAUGAGUAACGAUAAAGGGGGUGAAAAACCCCCUCGCCGGAAGAUCAAGGUUUCCUGUCCAACGCUAAUCGGGACAGGGUGAGUCGGCCCCUAAGGCGAGGCAGAAAUGCGUAGUCGAUGGGAAGCGGGUUAACAUUCCCGCACUUCUUAUUAUUGCGAUGGAGGGACGGAGUAGGCUAGGCCAUCAGGGCGUUGGUUGUCCCUGUUUAAGGUUGUAGGUCAGUAUCUUAGGUAAAUCCGGGAUACUCUCUUUAGUGAGGAGACUGAGAGCUGAUGACGAGUUCUGGCGAAAGCCAGAAUGAAGUGGUUGAUGCCAUGCUUCCAAGAAAAGCUUCUAAGCUUCAGGUAAUAAGGAACCGUACUGUAAACCGACACAGGUGAUCAGGUAGAGAAUACCAAGGCGCUUGAGAGAACUCGGGUGAAGGAACUAGGCAAAAUGGUACCGUAACUUCGGGAGAAGGUACGCCGGCUUUGGUGAUGGGACUUGCUCCCUAAGCUGAGGCUGGUCGAAGUGACCAGGUGGCUGCGACUGUUUAUUAAAAACAUAGCACUCUGCAAACACGUAAGUGGACGUAUAGGGUGUGACGCCUGCCCGGUGCCGGAAGGUUAAUUGAUGGGGUUAGCUUCGGCGAAGCUCUUGAUCGAAGCCCCGGUAAACGGCGGCCGUAACUAUAACGGUCCUAAGGUAGCGAAAUUCCUUGUCGGGUAAGUUCCGACCUGCACGAAUGGCGUAACGAUGGCCACACUGUCUCCAC
rnacentral:rRNA from 2 species